rnacentral:tRNA from 1 species
GUGGCUGGGGCUCAGUGGUAGAGUGCUUGCCUAGCAUGCAUGAGGCACUGGGUUCAAUUCUCAGCACCACA